AAGGCUGGUAGAGCUCUCUAUGAGUGUGAGCUGUGGGAGAACCAAUAACUGACAACCACCUACAGAAGAGGUGGCGAUAAUGGCUCUCCAAGAGGAGGUUGUGAGUCUGAAGGCUUUUAUUCAACAAGGAGGCACUUAGAGGGAAUGCCUGGACCCUGAGAGGACUAAGACAAUUGAGGCCACCCUGAAGCAGUUCCCAGGCCAGACACUCACUCCAGAUUGCUGGGCCAGGCAAUAAAUGCCAAAGUGACAGAACUGAGGUUCCAUAACAAAAACAAAGAUUUUCAAUAAAAUAGAAUAAAAGAUAACAGAAGUGUUGUGUGUUUCUUCCUCUUUAUACUGAUACUAUGGUUAAUUUUAAGUAAACACAAGUGAAAUAUUUAAUGAUCAAUGCGGAAAAUA